UGAAUUCAUCUCCGGGGGUAGAGCACUGUUUCGGCUAGGGGGCCAUCCCGGCUUACCAACCCGAUGCAAACUGCGAAUACCGGAGAAUGUUAUCACGGGAGACACACGGCGGGUGCUAACGUCCGUCGUGAAGAGGGAAACAACCCAGACCGCCAGCUAAGGUCCCAAAGUCAUGGUUAAGUGGGAAACGAUGUGGGAAGGCCCAGACAGCCAGGAUGUUGGCUUAGAAGCAGCCAUCAUUUAAAGAAAGCGUAAUAGCUCACUGGUCGAGUCGGCCUGCGCGGAAGAUGUAACGGGGCUAAACCAUG
rnacentral:rRNA from 2 species